rnacentral:rRNA from 1 species
GACGAACGCUGGCGGCGUGCUUAACACAUGCAAGUCGAGCGGUAAGGCCCUUUCGGGGGUACACGAGCGGCGAACGGGUGAGUAACACGUGGGUGACCUGCCCUCAGCUCUGGGAUAAGCCUGGGAAACCGGGUCUAAUACCGGAUAUGACUCCAUGACGCAUGUUGUGGGGUGAAAGCCUUGUGCGGCUGGGGAUGGGCCCGCGGCCUAUCAGCUUGUUGGUGGGGUGAUGGCCUACCAAGGCGACGACGGGUAGCCGGCCUGAGAGGGCGACCGGCCACACUGGGACUGAGACACGGCCCAGACUCCUACGGGAGGCAGCAGUGGGGAAUCUUGCGCAAUGGGCGAAAGCCUGACGCAGCGACGCCGCGUGA